rnacentral:rRNA from 1 species
GAUGAACGCUGGCGGCGUGCCUAAUACAUGCAAGUCGAGCGAACGGACGAGAAGCUUGCUUCUCUGAUGUUAGCGGCGGACGGGUGAGUAGCACGUGGAUAACCUACCUAUAGGACUGGGAUAACUUCGGGAAACCGUAGCUAAUACCGGAUAAUAUUUUGAACCGCAUGGUUCAAAAGUGAAAGACGGUCUUGCUGUCACUUAUAGAUGGAUCCGCGCUGCAUUAGCUAGUUGGUAAGGUAACGGCUUACCAAGGCAACGAUGCAUAGCCGACCUGAGAGGGUGAUCGGCCACACUGGAACUGAGACACGGUCCAGACUCCUACGGGAGGCAGCAGUAGGGAAUCUUCCGCAAUGGGCGAAAGCCUGACGGAGCAACGCCGCGUGAGUGAUGAAGGUCUUCGGAUCGUAAAACUCUGUUAUUAGGGAAGAACAUAUGUGUAAGUAACUGUGCACAUCUUGACGGUACCUAAUCAGAAAGCCACGGCUAACUACGUG